rnacentral:rRNA from 1 species
GACGAACGCUGGCGGCGUGCCUAAUACAUGCAAGUCGAGCGGACAGAAGGGAGCUUGCUCCCGGAAGUUAGCGGCGGACGGGUGAGUAACACGUGGGCAACCUACCCUGUAGAUCGGGAUAACAUCGAGAAAUCGGUGCUAAUACCGGAUAAUCAUUUGAAGUGCAUGCUUCGAAUGUAAAAGAUGGCUCCGGCUAUCACUACGGGAUGGGCCCGCGGCGCAUUAGCUAGUUGGUAAGGUAAUGGCUUACCAAGGCAACGAUGCGUAGCCGACCUGAGAGGGUGGUCGGCCAAACUGGGACUGAGACACGGCCCAGACUCCUACGGGAGGCAGCAGUAGGGAAUCUUCCGCAAUGGACGAAAGUCUGACGGAGCAACGCCGCGUGAGUGAUGAAGGUUUUCGGAUCGUAAAGCUCUGUUGUUAGGGAAGAACAAGUGCCGUUUGAAUAAGGCGGCACCUUGACGGUACCUAACCAGAAAGCCACGGCUAGCUACGUGCCAGCCGCCGCCGUAAUAC